rnacentral:rRNA from 1 species
CAAGUCGAGCGGUAACAGAGAGUAGCUUGCUACUUUGCUGACGAGCGGCGGACGGGUGAGUAAUGCUUGGGGAUCUGCCCGGUCGAGGGGGAUAACCGUUGGAAACGACGGCUAAUACCGCAUACGCCCUACGGGGGAAAGCAGGGGACCUUCGGGCCUUGCGCGAUUGGAUGAACCCAAGUGAGAUUAGCUUGUUGGUGAGGUAACGGCUCACCAAGGCGACGAUCUCUAGCUGGUCUGAGAGGAUGACCAGUCACACUGGGACUGAGACACGGCCCAGACUCCUACGGGAGGCAGCAGUGGGGAAUAUUGCACAAUGGGGGAAACCCUGAUGCAGCCAUGCCGCGUGUGUGAAGAAGGCCUUCGGGUUGUAAAGCACUUUCAGUGGUGAGGAAAGGAGGUUGGCUAAUACCUGACCUCUGUGACGUUAACCACAGAAGAAGCACCGGCUAACUCCGUGCCA